AGUGAACGCUGGCGGCAGGCCUAAUACAUGCAAGUCGAACGGCAGCACAGCAGAGCUUGCUCUGUGGGUGGCGAGUGGCGGACGGGUGAGGAAUACAUGGGAAUCUGCCCAGUCGUGGGGGAUAACGUAUGGAAACGUACGCUAAUACCGCAUGCGCCCUAAGGGGGAAAGCCGGGGACCGCAAGGCCUGGCGCGAUUGGAUGAGCCCAUGUUCGAUUAGCUAGUUGGCGGGGUAAAGGCCCACCAAGGCGACGAUCGAUAGCUGGUCUGAGAGGAUGAUCAGCCACACUGGAACUGAGACACGGUCCAGACUCCUACGGGAGGCAGCAGUAGGGAAUAUUGGACAAUGGGGGCAACCCUGAUCCAGCCAUGCCGCGUGAGUGAAGAAGGCCCUCGGGUUGUAAAGCUCUUUUGUCCGGAAAGAAAAGCAUCUGGUUAAUACCCGGGUGUUCUGACGGUACCGGAAGAUAAGCACCGGCUAACUUCGUGCC
rnacentral:rRNA from 1 species